UGAGAUAGCUGGUAGUUCAAACAGCCAAUUGCAGAUGUCGAAAACACGUACUAACGUCUUCAGAAGACGACAUGCACUGAGUAAGAGCGCGUGUAGUAACAGCCCGCGUACUGCGUGUGUUUCAACUAUACUAAUGGCUACGUACAUUAAAGUGUGCCUCAUCCUCUCUAUGUUGGUAAUUCCUGCACUGGGUGGAGGGCAAGAACAAAAGAAAAAGAUAAAAGGAUGUGUACCGAGUAAAUCUGGAGCUCAAACAGCUGUGGAACCAACAGAUCCUACGAGUUGUCAGUUCAGAAAUGCCAAACACCCUGCCAGUUGCGAAAUCAGACUGGUUCUAUAAUGCGCAUGACAACUUCUGUUAUAUGAGCGACAGUCAAUACUGUGGCCUUGGUAACAAUAGCUACAAAAGCUGUGACGAAUGCAUGGAAAAUUGCA
rnacentral:lncRNA from 1 species